rnacentral:rRNA from 2 species
AGAUCUAAUCCAGAGUACCACGAGACACGUGAAACCUUGUGGGAAGCAGGGAGGACCACCUCCCAAGGCUAAAUACUACCUAGUGACCGAUAGUGAAGCAGUACCGGGAGGGAAAGGUGAAAAGAACCCCGGAAGGGGAGUGAAAUAGAACCUGAAACCGUGUGCCUACAACCGAUCGGAGCACGUUAAAGUGUGACGAUGUGCUUUUUGUAGAACGAGCCAGCGAGUUACGCU